GGUCUUUACGUUCCCUGGGUGGUGCUGUGUGCAGGAGUCAUGACCAGCAGCACCCUGGUUUAACUCCUCUCCCCUUUCAUCCUGGAGACAUUCUGUUGGGUCACCUUUCCACGACUCCCCCAUUCCCAAUACUUUUUUGUUUUGUCUUCCUAACUCCAGCUGGCAGAAGGGCCAGUUGAGAGAGGAGCUUCCUGGACAAAGUCCUCCGGGGGCCACUGUGGGAGGAAAAAAAAAUGAAGCAUAACUUGCUCAAGGUUGCAUAAUUGCUAAGAGAAGAGGCCAAGAUGAAUGCUUAGACCAGAGCCUGCCCUCUUGUCCACUUUGCUAUGCUUCCCAGUGUGGUGCAGUCGUAGCCAAAUAAAGGAAAGACCCCGACUUUCACGUCCUGACUCUACAAACUUGGAAAUUUGUGGAUUAAUCGCAACUAAAUAAGGUUCUUGAGAGCAGAGACUACAUCUUGUGCUUCCUCUGCCUCAUUAAGUCCUCACAGGACCUAACUAGGCCAGGACCACUCAGAAGAGAGAAUGAAAUAUAGGACUGCGUUGUCAAGUAAGAACUGAAGGGGGAAUGCCUGCAGUCUCCAGGAGAAAUGAGUCGUGACAGGGUCCAGAAAGCCAUGUGUGUCUUCUCCUCUAACCCAUAUCAGGACUGCAUUGUCAAGAGGAGGCCUGGAUCUGUCAGGUGACAAGAUUUGAAAUGUCUGUUUCUUUCCCGUGAAGCCUCAUGAAGGACAGCAUCGGUCCCAAAGACAAGUUCCAUGUGCCAGGAAAUAAGCAGGGGACUUGGAAACCUAGUUGGUGAAAAUGGUCUCAAUGGGAUAGUUCAAAUAAGCACUCCCCAUGCCUCGUCCUAAAACCAUUUUCUCCUGUUCCUUCUGUGGAAGAACACCCUCCACUCCCAGGUAGAGUGUUAUUUAUUCUUUCCUCCAAGUCACCGAUAGAAAGGCAUCCUGCAACAUGAGAAACGACAUGGUGCAGAAAGAAGAAUUAUAGGAGAACUGAUGAGAGAAAAGUUGCUACUACUUACAGCUGAGGAAGGAUGAUUGGGAAUGUCAUGGAUAAAAAGUGUGGGAUUUGGUGCUUGAGAACAAAUCAACAACUCAGUUUUCCAACCAUUACAUAACCUUGGGCAAAUUGCUUGACCUCUCUGGAGCUUGGUUUUGGAAUCCCAUCUGUAAAAAUGAAUAGGAUAAUACCUAUGGAAAAAAUUAUGUGAGCGCUUAUACAUAGAUGUUUAAAAUCAAAUGAAAAUUUAGCAACUCAAAAUACAUCAACCUAUUUGACUUAAGUAAACUGUUUAUGGUGAGGAUCUACUACAGUAGCAGAAAAUGGUUGUUUUGCCUCAGAAGCUUCUGGUUAAAAAAUCAUUGGAAGGGAGGAGAAGGCAUAAUCUAACAUGGUAUGGAGAGACCAGAAGAUAAGUCUCGGCUAGAGUUAGCAAUACUGUAUUAUAUAUUUGAAAAUGUAAAGAAAAUAGAUUUUGAAAGUUCACAUCCUUCCCAAAAAUAAAAUUUGUAACCGUGUGAGAUGACGAGUGGUAGCUAAACUUAUUGUGAUGAUCAUUUUGUAAUGUAUAUCAAGUCAUAAUGUUGUACAUCUAAAACUAAUACAAUGUUACAUGUCAACUAUAUCUCAAUAAAAUAUAUUGAGAGGAGGGGAAGAACGUAAAACUCAGUUUCUCCUUUGGAUUGGUUUGCUUCUAUUUUGAUACGGUGGGACAGUUAUAUGUGAUGUAUUUUUAUAUUAUAAGAAAGCAAUUAAGAGGGUGGGUUACCUUUCACAUUUUCUGUGACUGAUUUCCUGUGGUACCCUGAUUUACACUCUCUCACAUUUUAACAAUACCAAAUGUUUGUUCAUUUGUGUUUCCAUCCUUCUGGAAUAAAAGUAUAUUAUACUGGCAUGUUAAAGAGGGACUUCAUGAUGGGGGUGCUUAUGUGUUUAUACUCCUAACAGAAUAGAACUAUAAUCAUAACUAUGAGGAUAGAAUUAUAACAGUAAUUUUUAAUCCAUUUCUAGGGAGCAUAGAGAAACACUUCCAAAAACAGGAAAUAAUAGAUGAAAGCAAUUAAUCCAUCAAUGCCCAAGUUCUGGUUACAUGUUAAUAUUACCAUAGGGUUAAAUCCAAAUAUAAACUCUUCAUCCUUAUCAAAGAAUAGAUGUUUUACAUGAGAUGGGGGCAUAUGACAGCUUUCCCAUGACCCCUGGGAACGGAUCUAAGAGAAUUACUCCUGCCACCUCUGAUGGGGCUUUUUGGUUUUCAAAAGAUUUUGCUAUACCGUCUUAUUUGAUCAUUGCUACAAUUGGGAAAGAAAGGCAAUUUAAAGAGAUGGAAACCGAGUCACAGGGGUGGGGUUUGCCAUUUGCCCACCAUCACCCAGACAAGUGGCGGUCCCAGGAGGAGCCUUCGAAUUUCACCCCACCCCACCACUCACGCCAGGAAGCACAGAGGAAACAAAAUGUCUAUGCGUUGCUUUUGUAAGACUGAGGGACUGCUUUGAAGGGUAAUUAUGUAGCAAACAACUGAAGGGCUUCCUGGAUAUCAUAUUUAGGAAAGAAGAGUUGUGUUAUGACAGGACUUCCUAAAAAAUAUGUAGAAACUCUGAAGUACUAUAUGGAUUUAUAAAUCUACACCAUUAUCUAGUUAAUGCUGGCAUGAAUCUUAUAGAUUCAUACAACUCUCAGAGACUUUACCCCCCCAAUCUUCAAAUCAUGGAGUUCUAGACUGAAAAAAAAAAUGUUUUCAAAUUUCAGAAGGGAGGACAGCAUUAAAUAUAAGCUCAUACAUCAUAUGGGUUUACAAUGGUUUCAAACCAAAUCUUUUAAUGUUUACGGGA